rnacentral:misc_RNA from 1 species
UUAAAGAUUCGUUUCCGAUCAGACACAAAGCUAGAUGCAUAGACUCGGCGCGGAAGGCGCCGAAGCACUCCUCGUUUCCACGGGUUUGAGCGAAGGCGGCCCAAAGGCCCCGUUCAAUAAUGAUCCCUCCGCAGGUUCACCUACGGAGA